GACGAACGCUGGCGGCGUGCCUAACACAUGCAAGUCGAACGGAACCUAGAUGUUAGACUGUAGAUGUUAGAAAUUAGAACAAGGACAUGGUUGGAACUUUAAGAUUGAGCCUAAGGCUUGAGGGACCAUUGUCUUAGAUUUAAAAUCUAAAAUCUAAUGUCUAGAGUCUAACAUCUAGGCUUAGUGGCGGACGGGCGAGUAACGCGUGAGCAACCUGCCCUUAAGAGGGGGACAACGACUGGAAACGGUCGCUAAUACCGCAUGACAUAUCGGGAUGGCAUCAUCUUGAUAUCAAAGGAGAAAUCCGCUUAAGGAUGGGCUCGCGUCCGAUUAGCUAGUUGGUGGGGUAACGCCCACCAAGGCGACGAUCGGUAGCCGAACUGAGAGGUUGAUCGGCCGCAUUGGGACUGAGACACGGCCCAGACUCCUACGGGAGGCAGCAGGUGGGGGAUAGUUGCACAAUGGAGGAAACUCUGAUGCAGCAACGCCGCGUGA
rnacentral:rRNA from 1 species